rnacentral:tRNA from 1 species
UUUAGUGUGGCAGACUAGUGCAAUGAACUUAAGAUUCAUGUAUAAAUACAAUUGUAUUUUACUAGAA